rnacentral:snRNA from 1 species
GCACUUGUUUCAUCAGCACAUAUCCUACAGUUUGAAUAACACAGGGAACAUUAGUUCGGCCUCUGCAUGAAGAUGACAUACAAAUUCAGGAAAUGUUUCAUGUUUAC